rnacentral:tRNA from 1 species
UCCUUCGUGGUGUAGUGGUCAGCACGCUCGACGCAUAACCGAGAGGUCCGUGGUUCGAUUCCCGGCGAAGGCG